rnacentral:rRNA from 1 species
GGAGNNNGUGGUUUAAUUCGAAGCAACGCGAAGAACCUUACCAGGUCUUGACAUCCUUUGACCACUCGAGAGAUCGAGCUUUCCCUUCGGGGACAAAGUGACAGGUGGUGCAUGGUUGUCGUCAGCUCGUGUCGUGAGAUGUUGGGUUAAGUCCCGCAACGAGCGCAACCCUUAUUACUAGUUGCCAGCAUUCAGUUGGGCACUCUAGUGAGACUGCCGGUGACAAACCGGAGGAAGGUGGGGAUGACGUCAAAUCAUCAUGCCCCUUAUGACCUGGGCUACACACGUGCUACAAUGGAUGGUACAACGAGUCGCGAAGUCGUGAGGCCAAGCUAAUCUCUUAAAGCCAUUCUCAGUUCGGAUUGUAGGCUGCAACUCGCCUACNGAAGCCGGAAUCGC